rnacentral:tRNA from 1 species
GCCUGGGUGGCUCAGUUGGUUAAGCGUCUGACUUCAGCUCAGGUCAUGAUCUCACAGUUCGUGAGUUCGAGCCCCACGUCGGGCU